rnacentral:misc_RNA from 1 species
GUGGCACUUUUCGGGGAAAUGUGCGCGGAACCCCUAUUUGUUUAUUUUUCUAAAUACAUUCAAAUAUGUAUCCGCUCAUGAGACAAUAACCCUGAUAAAUGCUUCAAUAAUAUUGAAAAAGGAAGAGUAUGAGUAUUCAACAUUUCCGUGUCGCCCUUAUUCCCUUUUUUGCGGCAUUUUGCCUUCCUGUUUUUGCUCACCCAGAAACGCUGGUGAAAGUAAAAGAUGCUGAAGAUCAGUUGGGUGCACGAGUGGGUUACAUCGAACUGGAUCUCAACAGCGGUAAGAUCCUUGAGAGUUUUCGCCCCGAAGAACGUUUUCCAAUGAUGAGCACUUUUAAAGUUCUGCUAUGUGGCGCGGUAUUAUCCCGUAUUGACGCCGGGCAAGAGCAACUCGGUCGCCGCAUACACUAUUCUCAGAAUGACUUGGUUGAGUACUCACCAGUCACAGAAAAGCAUCUUACGGAUGGCAUGACAGUAAGAGAAUUAUGCAGUGCUGCCAUAACCAUGAGUGAUAACACUGCGGCCAACUUACUUCUGACAACGAUCGGAGGACCGAAGGAGCUAACCGCUUUUUUGCACAACAUGGGGGAUCAUGUAACUCGCCUUGAUCGUUGGGAACCGGAGCUGAAUGAAGCCAUACCAAACGACGAGCGUGACACCACGAUGCCUGUAGCAAUGGCAACAACGUUGCGCAAACUAUUAACUGGCGAACUACUUACUCUAGCUUCCCGGCAACAAUUAAUAGACUGGAUGGAGGCGGAUAAAGUUGCAGGACCACUUCUGCGCUCGGCCCUUCCGGCUGGCUGGUUUAUUGCUGAUAAAUCUGGAGCCGGUGAGCGUGGGUCACGCGGUAUCAUUGCAGCACUGGGGCCAGAUGGUAAGCCCUCCCGUAUCGUAGUUAUCUACACGACGGGGAGUCAGGCAACUAUGGAUGAACGAAAUAGACAGAUCGCUGAGAUAGGUGCCUCACUGAUUAAGCAUUGGUAACUGUCAGACCAAGUUUACUCAUAUAUACUUUAGAUUGAUUUAAAACUUCAUUUUUAAUUUAAAAGGAUCUAGGUGAAGAUCCUUUUUGAUAAUCUCAUGACCAAAAUCCCUUAACGUGAGUUUUCGUUCCACUGAGCGUCAGACCCCGUAGAAAAGAUCAAAGGAUCUUCUUGAGAUCCUUUUUUUCUGCGCGUAAUCUGCUGCUUGCAAACAAAAAAACCACCGCUACCAGCGGUGGUUUGUUUGCCGGAUCAAGAGCUACCAACUCUUUUUCCGAAGGUAACUGGCUUCAGCAGAGCGCAGAUACCAAAUACUGUUCUUCUAGUGUAGCCGUAGUUAGGCCACCACUUCAAGAACUCUGUAGCACCGCCUACAUACCUCGCUCUGCUAAUCCUGUUACCAGUGGCUGCUGCCAGUGGCGAUAAGUCGUGUCUUACCGGGUUGGACUCAAGACGAUAGUUACCGGAUAAGGCGCAGCGGUCGGGCUGAACGGGGGGUUCGUGCACACAGCCCAGCUUGGAGCGAACGACCUACACCGAACUGAGAUACCUACAGCGUGAGCUAUGAGAAAGCGCCACGCUUCCCGAAGGGAGAAAGGCGGACAGGUAUCCGGUAAGCGGCAGGGUCGGAACAGGAGAGCGCACGAGGGAGCUUCCAGGGGGAAACGCCUGGUAUCUUUAUAGUCCUGUCGGGUUUCGCCACCUCUGACUUGAGCGUCGAUUUUUGUGAUGCUCGUCAGGGGGGCGGAGCCUAUGGAAAAACGCCAGCAACGCGGCCUUUUUACGGUUCCUGGCCUUUUGCUGGCCUUUUGCUCACAUGUUCUUUCCUGCGUUAUCCCCUGAUUCUGUGGAUAACCGUAUUACCGCCUUUGAGUGAGCUGAUACCGCUCGCCGCAGCCGAACGACCGAGCGCAGCGAGUCAGUGAGCGAGGAAGCGGAAGAGCGCCCAAUACGCAAACCGCCUCUCCCCGCGCGUUGGCCGAUUCAUUAAUGCAGCUGGCACGACAGGUUUCCCGACUGGAAAGCGGGCAGUGAGCGCAACGCAAUUAAUGUGAGUUAGCUCACUCAUUAGGCACCCCAGGCUUUACACUUUAUGCUUCCGGCUCGUAUGUUGUGUGGAAUUGUGAGCGGAUAACAAUUUCACACAGGAAACAGCUAUGACCAUGAUUACGCCAAGCGCGAAUUCUCCAGGCUUAGAAUUCGCUCACUGGCCGUCGUUUUACACCAUGAUUACGCCAAGCGCGAAUUCUCCAGGCUUAGAAUUCGCUCACUGGCCGUCGUUUUACAACGUCGUGACUGGGAAAACCCUGGCGUUACCCAACUUAAUCGCCUUGCAGCACAUCCCCCUUUCGCCAGCUGGCGUAAUAGCGAAGAGGCCCGCACCGAUCGCCCUUCCCAACAGUUGCGCAGCCUGAAUGGCGAAUGGGACGCGCCCUGUAGCGGCGCAUUAAGCGCGGCGGGUGUGGUGGUUACGCGCAGCGUGACCGCUACACUUGCCAGCGCCCUAGCGCCCGCUCCUUUCGCUUUCUUCCCUUCCUUUCUCGCCACGUUCGCCGGCUUUCCCCGUCAAGCUCUAAAUCGGGGGCUCCCUUUAGGGUUCCGAUUUAGUGCUUUACGGCACCUCGACCCCAAAAAACUUGAUUAGGGUGAUGGUUCACGUAGUGGGCCAUCGCCCUGAUAGACGGUUUUUCGCCCUUUGACGUUGGAGUCCACGUUCUUUAAUAGUGGACUCUUGUUCCAAACUGGAACAACACUCAACCCUAUCUCGGUCUAUUCUUUUGAUUUAUAAGGGAUUUUGCCGAUUUCGGCCUAUUGGUUAAAAAAUGAGCUGAUUUAACAAAAAUUUAACGCGAAUUUUAACAAAAUAUUAACGCUUACAAUUUAG